CCUACGGGGGCUGCAGUGGGGAAUAUUGGACAAUGGGCGAAAGCCUGAUCCAGCCAUGCCGCGUGUGUGAAGAAGGCCUUCGGGUUGUAAAGCACUUUCAGUGGGGAAGAAAGCCUUGGGGCUAAUACCCUCGAGGAAGGACAUCACCCACAGAAGAAGCACCGGCUAACUCCGUGCCAGCAGCCGCGGUAAUACGGAGGGUGCGAGCGUUAAUCGGAAUUACUGGGCGUAAAGCGCGCGUAGGCGGUCUGAUAAGCCGGUUGUGAAAGCCCCGGGCUCAACCUGGGAACGGCAUCCGGAACUGUCAGGCUAGAGUGCAGGAGAGGAAGGUAGAAUUCCCGGUGUAGCGGUGAAAUGCGUAGAGAUCGGGAGGAAUACCAGUGGCGAAGGCGGCCUUCUGGACUGACACUGACGCUGAGGUGCGAAAGCGUGGGUAGCAAACAGGAUUACAUACCCCGGUAGUC
rnacentral:rRNA from 1 species